rnacentral:rRNA from 1 species
ACAGAGGGGGCGAGCGUUGUUCGGAAUUACUGGGCGUAAAGGGCGCGUAGGCGGCCUGCUAAGUCGGACGUGAAAUCCCUCGGCUCAACCGAGGAACUGCGUCCGAUACUGGUUGGCUUGAAUUCGGGAGAGGGAUGCGGAAUUCCAGGUGUAGCGGUGAAAUGCGUAGAUAUCUGGAGGAACACCGGUGGCGAAGGCGGCAUCCUGGACCGAGAUUGACGCUGAUGCGCGAAAGCCAGGGGAGCAAACGGGA